rnacentral:ribozyme from 1 species
UAACCACGAUUCUUCAUCAUGCCGCCAACAGCACUUACCGCCCUCAUCUUCGUGCUAACGAACAUAGCAUUCCUCCCAACGUCCACUUGGGCACUCUCUAUC